CUUGUACACACCGCCCGUCACACCACGAGAGUUUGUAACACCCGAAGCCGGUGGAGUAACCAUUUGGAGCUAGCCGUCGAAGGUGGGACAAAUGAUUGGGGUGAAGUCGUAACAAGGUAGCCGUAUCGGAAGGUGCGGCUGGAUCACCUCCUUUCUAAGGA
rnacentral:rRNA from 1 species